AGGGGCUCUGCGCUGUGGCACAGAGUGCAUCCCUAGUGGCAAGGGCUCUGCUCCAAGGUCCUAUAUGCCAUUGAUCCCCCUCCACUGAAGAUUUUGCCAAGACACAAGGCAGAGGUUACUUUGUGAUGAGAGAGACAUAGAGGCAACUUUAUAGUAAGAGAUCAACCCACCAGCUCUUCAGUGGAGCUGCAGAGCUGAGCGAAUGCCAGCAAGGGCCAUCCUCCCAGCACGAAUUGGCUGAGGAGUACCAAUGUAGCAUCAAGUCACAGCAUUACAGGAGGCAUCACCUCUUUAGCCAUAAUGUCCUGUCUGAGUCUUCUGUAGCCUGGCCCUCCAGCUAGGUCACUUAAAAAUUCAAUCACCUUUCAGAGUAACAAAAGGGUCCAACCCUAAGUCCAAAUAAAUUUCUAAACUGAUCAUUCUUCAGCUCCUCUUAGGCUACACUGAAGUUCUCUGCUUCUUGGCCCCUAUUCCCAGGCCCUGCAGAGCUUUCUCAUAUGCUACUUCAUUUCAGUAGGUUUUCCCCCACCGCCUCGCUCAGGUACACCAUGGUGUAAUCUCUUCCAGCCUGACUUCCAAAGUUUCUUUCCACUCACUGUGGUCAGCUCUGUUUAAGUAGUCCUCUCGCUGAUCCUCUGCAGCAGGAGUCAGUCAUUCCAAUUAAGCUCCCAUCGCACCCAGCUGGGAUCACUAAUUAUGACUACUAAGUUGCUAGAUCACGGGCAAAACUGAGGGCUAGCUGCUAGGUCAUAGGAAAGACUCAGCCCAGCUUGCAUUGAAGAGCUAACCAGCCUGUGAUGGUAGUGAACUGAGUUAAAGUACAGUCAACCCUGAGGAGUAUCUAAAUGUAGCUGUUUUACAUGGCUUUAUCAAGGCUCUUGAAGCACUCAGACCUCUACAUCUUAUUUAGCAAGCUCCAAGUGAAAAAGCAUUUUUUGGAAACUUUAUUUUCAAGAGAGCAAAGCUCUGGGAGCCUCAAUUGGAGAAAAUGAAGUCCCAGGGAGAAACCAGUACAGGGCACCAAAAAGUCCUGCUUACGGAUUGCUUGCUGCUGUUGAUCAAAAUGGAGAGUAUGAAUUGGAAUGCCUCUUUUUCCAAACUGAAACAUGGAAGAGCAAAGAUAGAUAAUUAUUUCAGGGCCUGAUGUUGUCAGUAGGGCUGACAUUAACCUCACUGAUGAGCUGAACUCCACAGGUGGAAUCCUGGUUCCUUUGAAGGCAAGGGCCAAGAUAUCACCCCUGAACAUUAACACCUGAUUUCAGAGUAUCCUUUGCAAAGUGACAAAGAAGCAGGACUUUAAAAAGCACUGAAGAGGAGAUCCAUCCUAAGGCUUUGUCUACAUUAGCACUUUUGGCGGUAAAACUUUUGACAAAAGUGCUGGUAUGGACAGCGCUAUGUACCGUGGUGGGAGACACUCUCCUGACGACAUAGCUACCGCCGCUUGUUGAGGGUGGUUUAAUCAUGCUGGGAGGAGAGCUCUCUCCCGCCGGCAUUGAGCGAAUACACGGAAGACCCUACCGCAGCAAGCUGUAUUCUCCUUUGGGAAGUUGAACAGACCUUUACUGCAAUCAGACUGACUCAGUAACUUGCCCUGGUGCCCUCUCCCCUUCCCUAGAUAGAGCUCUCCUUCCUGUACAGAGCUCUUCCUAACCUUGGUUUGCCCUCAGCCUCCUUUGGAUUGGGCUCUUCGGGAUUUCUUCCCUUUAUUAUGCUGGAGAGCCAGAAGUCGUGCUGCAGGGCCCAGUCAUCUACCCCACACCCUCGCUAACCUCAUGUCUCACUCCUUUUCUCCCCCUCUUUUGCUCUGUCACCACCCCCCUCCUUGCCACUCUUAUACUCAUGGGCCCGCUACAGGCUCUGCUGGCCUGCCACCAGCUGCUAACAACACAUAGCUCCCCCAACUGGUGAUGUUUUUCCCUUUCAGCAAAGCCCUCAGUGUAAUACCAUGGUUGUAAUCAGGCUUCUAGAAUAUGAAUAGCACUAUCGUCUACAUGAAUAAA